rnacentral:rRNA from 1 species
UACGUGAGGCGCAAGCGUUGUCCGGAAUUAUUGGGCGUAAAGAGCUCGUAGGCGGUUUGUCGCGUCGUCCGUGAAAACUCACAGCUUAACUGUGAGCUUGCGGUCGAUACGGGCAGGCUAGAGUUCGGUAGGGGAGACUGGAAUUCCUGGUGUAGCGGUGAAAUGCGCAGAUAUCAGGAGGAACACCGGUGGCGAAGGCGGGUCUCUGGGCCGAUACUGACGCUGAGGAGCGAAAGCGUGGGGGAGCGAACAGG